rnacentral:rRNA from 1 species
AAGCGACUAAGCGUACACGGUGGAUGCCCUGGCAGUCAGAGGCGAUGAAGGACGUGCUAAUCUGCGAAAAGCGUCGGUAAGGUGAUAUGAACCGUUAUAACCGGCGAUGUCCGAAUGGGGAAACCCAGUGUGAUUCGUCACACUAUCGUUAACUGAAUACAUAGGUUAACGAGGCGAACCGGGGGAACUGAAACAUCUAAGUACCCCGAGGAAAAGAAAUCAACCGAGAUUCCCCCAGUAGCGGCGAGCGAACGGGGAGCAGCCCAGAGUCUGAAUCAGCUUGUGUGUUAGUGGAACGGUCUGGAAAGUCCGACGGUACAGGGUGAUAGUCCCGUACACCAAAAUGCACAGGUUGUGAACUCGAAGAGUAGGGCGGGACACGUGGUAUCCUGUCUGAAUAUGGGGGGACCAUCCUCCAAGGCUAAAUACUCCUGACUGACCGAUAGUGAACCAGUACCGUGAGGGAAAGGCGAAAAGAACCCCGGCGAGGGGAGUGAAAAAGAACCUGAAACCGUGUACGUACAAGCAGUGGGAGCACCUUCGGGUGUGACUGCGUACCUUUUGUAUAAUGGGUCAGCGACUUAUAUUCUGUAGCAAGGUUAACCGUAUAGGGGAGCCGCAGGGAAACCGAGUCUUAACUGGGCGUUAAGUUGCAGGGUAUAGACCCGAAACCCGGUGAUCUAGCCAUGGGCAGGUUGAAGGUUGGGUAACACUAACUGGAGGACCGAACCGACUAAUGUUGAAAAAUUAGCGGAUGACUUGUGGCUGGGGGUGAAAGGCCAAUCAAACCGGGAGAUAGCUGGUUCUCCCCGAAAGCUAUUUAGGUAGCGCCUCGUGAAUUCAUCUUCGGGGGUAGAGCACUGUUUCGGCUAGGGGGUCAUCCCGACUUACCAACCCGAUGCAAACUACGAAUACCGAAGAAUGUUAUCACGGGAGACACACGGCGGGUGCUAACGUCCGUCG